GCCGGAGUGGUGGAACUGGUAUACGCAGGGGACUCAAAAUCCCCCGGGGCUCGACUCCAUGAGGGUUCGAUUCCCUCCUCCGGCACCA
rnacentral:tRNA from 1 species